rnacentral:tRNA from 1 species
GUAUAUAUAGCUCAGUGGCAGAGCGCGUGCUUAGCAUGCACCAGGUCCUGGGUUCAAUCCCCAGUACCUCCA